rnacentral:rRNA from 1 species
GACGAACGCUGGCGGCGUGCUUAACACAUGCAAGUCGAACGGAAAGGCCCUGCUUUUGUGGGGUGCUCGAGUGGCGAACGGGUGAGUAACACGUGAGUAACCUGCCCUUGACUUUGGGAUAACUUCAGGAAACUGGGGCUAAUACCGGAUAGGAGCUCCUGCUGCAUGGUGGGGGUUGGAAAGUUUCGGCGGUGGGGGAUGGAUUCGCGGCUUAUCAGCUUGUUGGUGGGGUAGUGGCUUACCAAGGCUUUGACGGGUAGCCGGCCUGAGAGGGUGACCGGCCACAUUGGGACUGAGAUACGGCCCAGACUCCUACGGGAGGCAGCAGUGGGGAAUAUUGCACAAUGGGCGGAAGCCUGAGGCAGCAACGCCGCGUGCGGGAUGACGGCCUUCGGGUUGUAAACCGCUUUCGCCUGUGACGAAGCGUGAGUGACGGUAAUGGGUAAAGAAGCACCGGCUAACUACGUG